AGCAGGUAAUAGGAGCAGUGACACUUGGGAAGGAGGCAUCUCCAGGACAGAAUCCAAGGCUCAAUGAUAACAUUUGUGGGCAACUGCAUUUUGCAAUGGUCAGUUUCCUAACAAACAACAAAUGCUAUCUGAAGACAGGAAGGAGAAAGGUCUCCUGGAAUUUAUUUCAUCAGUCCUUAAUUUGCCCUUCAAACAACAAAAGAAGAGACAUGCUGCUAUUUGGAAGCUGACUGAUUAUGAACCAGGGACUUUGAUCCCUACUUUUCCUGAAGACACACCAGUAAGCAAAGCCAAAA